rnacentral:rRNA from 1 species
AGAGUUUGAUCCUGGCUCAGAGCGAACGCUGGCGGCGUGCUUAACACAUGCAAGUCGAGCGAGAAAGUCCCGCAAGGGAUGAGUACAGCGGCGAACGGGUGCGUAACACGUGGGCAAUCUAUCCUUGAGAUGGGGAUAACCCAGCGAAAGUUGGGCUAAUACCGGAUAAGACCACAGGAGGAAACUCCAGAGGUCAAAGGGCGCUUUCUUUUGGGAGCACUCGCUCAGGGCGGAGCCCGCGGCCUAUCAGCUUGUUGGUAGGGUAACGGCCUACCAAGGCGAGGACGGGUAGCUGGUCUGAGAGGAUGACCAGCCACACGGGGACUGAGACACGGCCCAGACUCCUACGGGAGGCAGCAGUGGGGAAUCUUGCGCAAUGGGCGAAAGCCUGACGCAGCGACGCCGCGUGAGGGAUGACGGCCUUCGGGUUGUAAACCUCUUUCAGCUCCGACGAAGCGAAAGUGACGGUAGGAGCAGAAGAAGCACCGGCCAACUACGUGCCAGCAGCCGCGGUAAU